GUCUCUGCGGUGAUCUGCUCCAAACCCCACCCUCCGUGGGUCUCCAGGUACAGCUUGUUCACCACGGGGAGCACCUUCUCCGAGAUGUUGAGUUGGACGCCGCCGGUCUGUGCAAGACCUGGGAGCCAGCACAACCGAGGCUUGCAUCCCACUUAUGCCACCAAAUAGGAUUUGGGAGAUUAUUUUGGAAGCAAAGCUCACCAAAUUUGCUGUGGACUGGAAACUCAGGAGUAGGCUCCUUACCUCCAGGAAGCUUCUGGAUCUGAACUGCAGGGUUGUGAGGGCCUCAUCUGCCCAGCCGUAGAAGAUGGAUAAUGACGUAGGUGGUGUUUCUCACCUCGGGUUUUAUAACUCCCAGGGGAGUUUUAAACAAUGUAUUGCUACCCGGGCCCCCUUCCAUAUGUUCUGAAUCAAUUGUGAAGGCUUUUGGUUUUCCUGUUUCUUUUAACCGGCGCUUCCUUUCUCGUCUUCCUCCUGCCUGGAGCUCACACACGUGCUUGGACCUGGGGCAGCCACUGGGCAACCACGGAGGAAGUCCAAGAGAAUUGCAAAAGCUGGCCUUGGUGUCCCCGAGCUGCUAAACUAGAGCCUGCAGCUGCCUUUCUCGUACAAAGAGCAGUGCCUAUUUGCCUAAGCUACUGUGUGGAUCGAGUGUUUGUUCCUCGAAACCCCAAACGGCCGGCUUUCCCCACAGUUUAAAGCAAAGCCCAGGGGCGCCUGGGUGGCUCAGUUGGUUGCGCGACCGACUUCGGCUCGGCUCACGAUCUCACGGUUUGUGAGUUCGAGCCCCGCGUCGGCCUCUGGGCUGACGGCUCUCUCUGCCCCUC